CCUACGGGAGGCAGCAGUAAGGAAUAUUGGUCAAUGGAGGCAACUCUGAACCAGCCGUGCCGCGUGCAGGAAGACAGCCCUCUGGGUCGUAAACUGCUUUUAUUCGGGAAUAAACCUUAUUACGUGUAAUAAGCUGAAUGUACCGAAGGAAUAAGGAUCGGCUAACUCCGUGCCAGCAGCCGCGGUAAUACGGAGGAUCCAAGCGUUAUCCGGAUUUAUUGGGUUUAAAGGGUGCGUAGGCGGCUUAUUAAGUCAGGGGUGAAAGACGGUGGCUCAACCAUCGCAGUGCCUUUGAUACUGAUGAGCUUGAAUGAACUAGAGGUAGGCGGAAUGUGACAAGUAGCGGUGAAAUGCAUAGAUAUGUCACAGAACACCGAUUGCGAAGGCAGCUUACUAUGGUUUUAUUGACGCUGAGGCACGAAGGCGUGGGGAUCAAACAGGAUUAGAUACCCUGGUAGUCCACGCCCUAAACGAUGAAUACUCGCUGUUAGCGAUAUACAGUUAGCGGCUAAGCGAAAGCGUUAAGUAUUCCACCUGGGGAGUACGCCCGCAAGGGUGAAACUCAAAGGAAUUGACGG
rnacentral:rRNA from 1 species